GUGGAGGCCUGGGGCAGGGGCUGCUAGAAGCGGCGGCGAUGGCGGUUGAGGGGGAGGCAUGAGCAGUGUUAAAUAUUUUCAAAGAUGAAAAGGAAAGUGGCUAAAGGUGGAAGGUUAAGACUGAGUCCCAAUGAAGAAGCUUUGCUGUUGAAAGAAGAAUAUGAAAGAAGAAGAAAAUUAAGGCUGCAGCAGGUUAGAGAGCAGGAGAGAAAUAUUGCUUUGCAAAUAAGGCAAGAUGUUAAGCAACGAAGAGAUGAGCAGCUGCAUCAGUUGGCAGAAGAACUGAAGGCAGAGUGGCAGAAAGCACAAGAGGAGAAAAUUAAAGCCUUGGAAAAGCUUUAUCUGGCAAGCCUGAGAGCUAUAGGAGAGGGGCACAG